rnacentral:rRNA from 1 species
AUGCACGCUGGCGGCGUGCUUCACACAUGCAAGUCGAACGAAGCAUUUAAGACAGAUUCCUUCGGUUUGAAGUCUUUUAUGACUGAGUGGCGGACGGGUGAGUAACGCGUGGGUAACCUGCCUCAUACAGGGGGAUAGCAGCUGGAAACGGCUGGUAAUACCGCAUAAGCGCACAGUACCACAUGGUACAGUGUGAAAAACUCCGGUGGUAUGAGAUGGACCCGCGUCUGAUUAGCUUGUUGGCGGGGUAACGGCCCACCAAGGCGACGAUCAGUAGCCGACCUGAGAGGGUGACCGGCCACAUUGGGACUGAGACACGGCCCAGACUCCUACGGGAGGCAGCAGUGGGGAAUAUUGCACAAUGGAGGAAACUCUGAUGCAGCGACGCCGCGUGAGUGAAGAAGUAGUUCGCUAUGUAAAGCUCUAUCAGCAGGGAAGAUAGUGACGGUACCUGACUAAGAAGCUCCGGCUAAAUACGUG